rnacentral:lncRNA from 1 species
AAUAUAUUCAUAACACAUACUUCUUUAUCGAGCCAAUCUGUCUUGUCGGAAUCAGAUUAAAAAAAGUUAAAGAAUAGUGCCUUACCUCACAAGGAGGAAUGUGGGCAGAGUUAUGGCAAAACAUCUCAUUCCUGCACAAGUCGCUCUUAAUUUUUUUCUUCCUGCAGCAUAAGGUCAAACCAAGUCUUAGACAUAUUGAUUUUAAAGCAUGUUAUACUCCCCCAAAGAGUAAUCCUGUUAGCAAAUAGAAAUAUGAAGUAUGAGAAGAAAGACUAUAACACUGCAUAAAUACAUGAAACACAUAUAUAUAACACCACAACAUACUUGAUAUUGAAUUCAGGAAAUAGGAAACUCUUUUGGCAGAUUUUUCCUUUCACAAUAGUUUUUACAGUAUCCAUAUGAAAGUGUAAAUAAACCACCAACUCUUCAGCUAAAGUACACUUCUCUCUUGGAAGCAACCUUGCCAAGAAUACAAAAUAUACUGGAUUAAGGUCUAGGAAUAUAGACGUUCCAUGAACAAAACGUAUUACAUGGGCCCUGCAUAUACCAUAAUACAAAAUCAACUCAAUACACAAAUCACAAGUUUAAACGGUCUAAAUGGAAAGAGGAACUUAUGCAUUCAUACUAUACACAAAAAUGUUUGCUCUUAUGCUUGUCCAUUCUUUUCAACUUGUCCAUCUUCUCUACUCCAGUUACUUAAUUUGCAGCCUGCUAUGCAUGUGUUUUUUAUUGCUCUUUUAAAUAGAAGCUCUUUCACUCCCAUAUUUGAUGCUAAAUAAAAUGAUAAAACUUUUAGGUGAAUAGUUAAAGAAAUUUUCGUCCAUUUUAGCAGUUACCUCUAUGCAUAAGUAGGAAGAAUAUAAGGUCUUAUCUAGAAAUAAUAUAUUUUGUUCAAACAUAUAGCUUUCCUCAAGCUCAAGAGUUAAUCGAGAAAAUUGUAUUUCCUUUUGGCAUAAAUAUAUGCUGCCUCCACAAAUACCUAAGUAUUUGGACUACAUAGCGCAAUGCACUACCUCUUGUAUUCAAGAAACCUAAAUUCUUAAUUGUACCUCAAAAUGAUGUCUAAAAAGGAAAAUAAAAUACAAAUUAGAGUAAACAUGACAUAAUUUAGCCAUAAUUGGUUCAAUAUUUGCAGGGAAGAUCAAAUUAUAUUUACUACGUUGUUACUCUACUUUGGGUACUUGAAGCUGAAGCAGUCUCAUCACUUGCUUUUUUUUAGGCCUUAAGGGAUCUUUAUGACAGUGUUGCUCCACAUCAGUCCCAUCAAAAUUAUCGUGUACUAGUGCCACACAACUUACAAACAGUUUUACUAAUACACACACAAAACUUCAAUAUAGAAAUCAGAAUUUUACAAUUCCAGAAAGGUGCAAAAGGCAAAAAAUUCAAACCUUAAGCUUGCUAUUAUUAAAUAUUCUUAAAUUUGAUAUAAACACAAAAAGUUCAACGGUUAAACACAACAUAGUAAAAAGCCGAGUUGUUCAACCUAGUUUAUUUUUUAACUUCAUUAGAAAUUUUGGAGCAUUUAGUAUUACUAUUACUAUUUUAACUGGCACAAAUUCCCCCGACCACGAAAUCAAAACGUGUGAUAUCAUCUUCGUUUAGUAUCAGUGUUCUACUUGAUUCAACCUUCUCCCAUAGUUAUUGAGAGAUCAUAUUUAUAUCGCCAUUAUCCACAAAUAGAACUAAAGAUUAACUUGGUUCUUUAAUUAAGUUACCUCAAUUGAAUCCCAAGCAAAGAUUACGACGAUUCCUUUGUAACAUGAGUUGGCAGCGAGUGAAUUUGUCUCACAAAUCACGUACAAUUUUUUUCCUCCUUUCUCGUGUGACUUGGUAAAGAAUAGAAGCUUUGCCUUGAAGCCUAACUCUUAAAUAAACAAAGAGAUUUCGGAGGAUGAAGGUAGGUUUGUGGCCAAGAAGCAACAGAGCACACAGAGAGACGACGGAAAGGGAAAGUAAGAAUGAAUUGCAAUAGUCUGUUCGUGCUUUGGGUUAAGCUCAAAUUACACAGAAGACAAAAAUCACAGACACAUGUUUUGUGAAUUGGGUGGACUCGUGGAAGAACUGAUGCGGUGGCGGUCCAAUUUUGAGAUUAAAGCACACGUUUCAUUAGAUGUUGUUAAAGGUCCAAAUUACCCUUGAACAAAAAUUAAAAGACAGCAUGUCGAAACUCAAGCUCUUCUAUAUAAGAAACGGAAAAGGGUCAAAUAUACCCAUGUACUAUGAGGAAAGGUUUAAAUAUACCCUUCGUUAUACUUUGGGUCCAUAUAUACACUUGUCGUUAUACUAUUGGUUCAAAUAUAUCCCUCGUUUGUUAAGUUUGUCUAAGGUGGACAUCCAAUCAUAUAUGGCACUGAUAUUUGAUGAGGUAGAUGUCGCGUGGUAUGCCACCUCAGCACCCCUAACCUAUUUUACCCCUUCCUUCUAAUUUUUUCUUCCACCCCUAAAAUUUUCUUCCCCUCCACCACCAUUACCGACACCAUGAACGAUAUUGUAUUCAUUGCCACCAUCACAAGAAAAGCCACUUGAAAAAGACGCACACUUUAACUCUGAAAUUUCACAUAGAUCAGUCGAAUAGCUAG